GGCGAGGCGGGGGAGAGGGGCUGGCCCCGGGCAGGGCGGUGGUUGCCUGUGUCGCAGCCGCGCCGCGCGGCCGUGCGCUGUUACGGUCGGCCAUACCGGCACGCGGGUGUUGAGGGCGCUGGGCCUGCCCCGUUUGCGGGGCGGCCGCUUUGCUCGGUGGAAGGUGGUGAAAGCUGCCGAGCCUCGCAGGGCAGUGCCUCGGCGCUGCUCUGCGCCGCUCCCCGGCGUGCGCGCGAGAGACGGGCUUCGCACGUUCGUACGAGCCGGGGCGUGAAACCGUGCAACCACAGCGCGAGAAGUGGAGAGGCUUCGAUUCGUUGGGCAGUUAGGUGAUUUACGACUGAUAGUGUGCCUAUUUCACACUAAGGAGUGGAGCUUUUAAAUGCCCCUUCGUCUAAUGACAGGGGAAAGGUCAGCAUUCGCACACUAAGGCGGGUGUAAGCGUGGAUGGAGACUAUGCCUGAGACUGCAUUUUUGUGUGAAACAGAACGGCCAAGAAACAGCCUCAGGGUGGGGCUUCACGAUCAUAGUCCCUCCCAUCUCGGUGUUGCCGAGGGAUGCGGGCAGGUGCGGACAUCAGCACUCCUGUGGGCCUGCACUGACGUACAGGAGGGCACCAGCCCAGCCGCAAAUUAAGACUGUAACAAAUUGGUGGUUUCCACCCUAGCUGGCUCCCUGGCCAAGCCCACAGUCAGUUACAAGCACCAGUGGGACAGGAGCACCGCUUGCCACAGCAGCACCGUGUAUUUUGGUGGAAUAAGGCCAUCAGGAAACUGCACCUUGAGACAUUGUGUUCAUGUAUAGCCUCAAGAUAAGUGAAAAUAAUGCUUUCUGAACUCUGCACUGCUUAGAAGGGUGCUGUAGGACUCAGAAAAGGAAAUAAUCUCUUAAAAAUUGUUCUUAGUAUGGAGAAAGACAUGUGCAACAUUAUCCAAAAUAUUGACUUACUACUGUGGUCAAGAGAAAUAUUUUAUAAAGUAUGGAGAAAGAGUAUGUGACCUCCGGUGAAGCACCAGCUUUGUCAUUCUGAAGAGGUAAACAAAGUCACACAGGAAACUGAUUUCACCUGCAUUAGUAUCCUGUUCUGUGCAUGGUCUGGGUUCAGUAUUGUAUACCAUUCCGCUCAGCAAACAUCUAUUUUUUUGGAAAAAAUAAAAAAUUGAGACAGAUUGA